rnacentral:rRNA from 1 species
UACAGAGGGGGCGAGCGUUGUUCGGAAUUACUGGGCGUAAAGGGCGCGUAGGCGGCCCGCUAAGUCGAACGUGAAAUCCCCAGGCUCAACCUGGGAACUGCGUCCGAUACUGGCAGGCUUGAAUCCGGGAGAGGGAUGUGGAAUUCCAGGUGUAGCGGUGAAAUGCGUAGAUAUCAGGAGGAACACCGGUGGCGAAGGCGGCUCUCUGGACCACAACUGACGCUGAGGCGCGAAAGCUAGGGGAGCAAACAGG